ACUACGGGGGGCAGCAGUGGGGAAUAUUGCACAAUGGGGGAAACCCUGAUGCAGCGACGCCGCGUGAAGGAAGAAGUAUUUCGGUAUGUAAACUUCUAUCAGCAGGGAAGAAAGUGACGGUACCUGACUAAGAAGCCCCGGGCAACUACGUGCCAGCAGCCGCGGUAAUACGUAGGGGGCAAGCGUUAUCCGGAUUUACUUGGUGUAAAGGGAGCGUAGGCGGCGAUGCAAGGCAGAAGUGAAAGCCAGGGGCUCAACUCCGGGACUGCUUUUGAAACUGUAUGGCUAGAGUGCAGGAGAGGCAAGUGGAAUUCGUAGUGUAGCGGUGAAAUGCGUAGAUAUUAGGAGGAACACCAGUGGCGAAGGCGGCUUGCUGGACUGUAAAUGACGCUGAGGCUCGAAAGCGUGGGGAGCAAACAGGAUUAGAUACCCUGGUAGUC
rnacentral:rRNA from 1 species